UACAGAGGGGGCAAGCGUUGUUCGGAAUUACUGGGCGUAAAGGGCGCGUAGGCGGCCUUCUAAGUCGAACGUGAAAUCCCCGGGCUCAACCCGGGAACUGCGUCCGAUACUGGAAGGCUUGAAUCCGGGAGAGGGAUGCGGAAUUCCAGGUGUAGCGGUGAAAUGCGUAGAUAUCUGGAGGAACACCGGUGGCGAAGGCGGCAUCCUGGACCGGCAUUGACGCUGAGUGAGCGAAAGCCAGGGGAGCAACGGG
rnacentral:rRNA from 1 species